rnacentral:rRNA from 1 species
CCUACGGGCGGCAGCAGUGGGGAAUAUUGGACAAUGGGGGCAACCCUGAUCCAGCCAUGCCGCGUGUGUGAAGAAGGCCCUCGGGUUGUAAAGCACUUUCAGUGAGGAAGAACGCCUGGUGGUUAAUACCCAUCAGGAAAGACAUCACUCACAGAAGAAGCACCGGCUAACUCCGUGCCAGCAGCCGCGGUAAUACGGAGGGUGCGAGCGUUAAUCGGAAUUACUGGGCGUAAAGCGCGCGUCGGUGGCUUGAUAAGCCGGUUGUGAAAGCCCCGGGCUCAACCUGGGAACGGCAUCCGGAACUGUCAAGCUAGAGUGCAGGAGAGGAAGGUAGAAUUCCCGGUGUAGCGGUGAAAUGCGUAGAGAUCGGGAGGAAUACCAGUGGCGAAGGCGGCCUUCUGGACUGACACUGACACUGAGGUGCGAAAGCGUGGGUAGCAAACAGGAUUAGAUACCCUGGUAGUC